UGAGGUUGUCCUGAAAGCCCCAGGUAGAGCUAUCAACAAAACUGUGAUGAUUGCUAAAUUACUAAAGAGACGAAUUGUUGGUCUUCAUCAAAUCACAUCAAUUGGAUCUAUUGAUAUAACUGACACAUGGGAACCCUUAGAAGAGGGCCUACUUCCCCUAGAAACCACCCGCCAUGUUUCAGUUAUCACAAUUACCCUAUCUAGGAAGGAGCUUAACAU